rnacentral:rRNA from 1 species
CUCANNCCACCUAGAGGAGCUGUUNGGACAACCGAUAACCCCCGUUUAACCUCACCACUCCUUGUCAACCCAGCCUAUAUACCGCCGUCGCCAGCUUACCUCAUGAGAGAUUAAAAGUAAGCCAAAUGGGCCCCGCCCAAAACGUCAGGUCGAGGUGUAGCAAAUGGAGUGGGAAGAAAUGGGCUACAUUUUCUGAUAC